ACCAUUCUGAGAGCAGAGUGCUGGGGUAACAGUACUGUUACAGGAAGCGAGCGAGCGAGCGAGCUAGCUAGCGAGCAAGCGCACAAUAACCAGGACUGCAGAGAUUCCACGUGGACUUGUCACCAGUGACCCUCACUGCCCUGCGUUCUGUCACAGCAUGUAACUGUCACACAGUAAAUAGAUCACCGAGGACCCCUCCUGUUGGCUGUGCUGGGGAAUGAAUGCUAGAUAAGCACUCACAGGCACCUAUCCAUCCCCAGCCCUCUUCCCUAUGGGUGAGUAACCUGAGUUCCUUUCCUCGAUUCUGGCUUGUGGAUCCAAGGACCACUUUUUAGCAUCACUUUAAACCUUGAGUGGAGGUGAAAGAGGAUGAGGAGACAGCUUGUCAAUUUUCCCUUUUCUGAUUUUUCUCAUGCACCACAUGGUUUUUGUUUUGUUUUGUUUUUUUUGUUUUUUGUCUUGUUUUGCUUUGUUUUGUUUUAAAUUAUCAUUGGCUGGUGGCUGCUACCUCUGGAGAACGAUGUCAGCUGUCCUCCCAAGCUGCUGCAUGGCUUUCAGGCUGCCCAAAGCUUACAGUGGUAGGAGGACCAUCUCCUUCCCUAACACACAGAACAGAAUACACAGGCGUUCUGCAGGAAAAUGACACAGACAGCUCCAACAGCAAAGAACAGGAAUCUGCUCUGCUCCACAGGCAGAGGAAAAAGAGAAUGAAAGCCACUCAUAAAGGCAGCUUUUUAAGUGUGAGGAUGGAGUCACACAGCUGGCGUCACAAAAGAGAACAAAUAUUGAAUAGGAAACAACUGACAGAUCGAUCAAUAGAGUUCCAUUCACCUGGCUGCAGAGAGCUGCUGGAGGGAGAACUGAGAAGGCUCUGUUAAAAAAAAAGCUUGCCUGCUGCCUCACUGGGUGAACUGAAUACCUUUCAAGAACAUUGGAACACAUGGUCACAAAAUAGCUGCUAGCUGGUCCUGUCAGUUAAGAAACUCAGAAGUGCUACAAGGAUGCACUGGCAAGAAAAGGAGACCAGAAAAUACAAGGUUUGGAAUUUAUUCCUUGGCUUUUCCAACUUAGAAGGAUGAAAUGCAAAAAAGGAGAUUCAGGCCUGCUGCACAGAUGGAAACACAUGUCUAGUACUGCAAAUCUGGCCUAGAACCGAAGGUUGAAAAGCUCAGAGGUCCCAGGAAUGAACCUACUACUACUGUCCAGCUCAAUGAAUUUAAUGUCAAACUGCCCUACAGAUCUGUAUCUCUCAACCAUGGCCUACUGUAGCUCUCACACCUCAUCAGAGAAGGAACUCACACUUGGUCAAGCACAGAGAAUCAGGGUCAGUGGAGUGCUCAGCCACAUAUGGAACACAUCUAUAUCACACCCCCUCUAGUAGGUCCAGGAUCACCGUCGAUGAUGGAAUGGAAGGCUCCAAGAGCCAGAGAUCAAGGCGAAGAGAGCAAAAUGCUCUCUUCUGAGUCCUAUCAGUCAUGUGCUCCCAGCAGCUGGAGCUGCCUGUACAAAUCCAGCCAUUCACCGGUGUAGCACAGGUACCCACUCCUAACUGAGGAGUUGUGAACAGAUGAUGGUUUCUGGGGGAGGGAGAGGAUUUUAUUAAAGGAUGUGGCUCCUGGUAACAUGACCAUACUCUGGUAAUGCCUCACACCCAGGAGUAUAUAGAUGGGCAGCACAAAUUGCAGUGAAUGGGUUAUU
rnacentral:lncRNA from 1 species